GAACAUAAUAUUGUCGCCUUUUGUAAACCACCAUUCUGUAAACGUAGCAAACGAUUCGAUUAGUCGAUUGUCAAUCGCGAUCCCUAAUUCCUAUUCCAUCGAUUUGUAUCGUUAUGCGAACAACACACGAAGCGCAAUUGGCGAUAUACACGUUAAGGAAGAUACACCAUCUUGAAGAUCGAUUCUGUGAGAACUCGUGUCAAGUGCUUCGACGAUACGUUCCCGUCACGUCCGUUUGAACCCGUGUACGUACAGUGAUGAGAAAAGUAUUUGACUCGCGGAAGUAUUUAAACGUUUAUCGUAGAAAAUAUUUUUAAAUAUAUUACGCAUAUACGUACAACAUACGAAACUUUUCGAAAUUUUACAACGAAGCACAAGUAUCGUAAUCACGGUGAUAAAAUUUGAAAGCAAAGUUUAAAAAUUUACAUAGGAGUUACAAGAUAUUUGCCGUAAGCAUAUAGUUUGCAAAAAUGUGAUAUAAUUUAAAUACAUUAAAAACGAUAAUAAUAAUAUAGAAGAUACACGACUGUUUAAACAAUAGCUUUAACGAAGCGCAUGUUUGCAAGAAACAUCUUGUAACUUUUUCAAACUUGUUCCAAACUUUAUCGAUGAUCUCGUGUCCUGCAAAAUCUUUUUCAUAACAUACAUAAUAUAUUCCAAAAGAGUUUCUACGAGUGUUCGAAUACUUUCAUGAGCCAUCGUAUGUGAGUGUACGUAUGUUAAUGGUAGGUCCAUGGGAUUUACGCGACUCUACGCGACCAACGCUUGAAACGUAUCGUUGUUUUAUCGAUAAACGAUCAAUCGACUAGUAAACUUUCGUUCGAUGUUCUCAGAUCGAACGAAUCGUUUUCGUUAUCCGUUUGCUAAUAAAAUGCAACGAUAGAUUACGUGGAUCGUGUGGAAUCGAAGAGUCGCGACGAGAAAAUGUUAUUUCGCGUUGGCUUACCGAUCGCGGUUACGUCGACGCGAUAUAGCGAGCGUGUGUUACGUAUAUUAUUCGCGACUUCCUGUGUUCCGUGCGCCGCCAUGAAAUCGGCGUAACCGUCAGACAGUCGAUGUCGAUUGUCUCGACAAUACGAUCGAGUUUUAACGUCGUCAUUUCGCGUUCUCGAAAUGAAUCCAUUUUAUGCGUUUAGCGAUAACAAAGACAAACAGAGAAAAGAGAUAAAAGAGAAAUGUUAUGCGAGAAAGAGUCACGUUCACUUUUAUGCGUUGUUUUUCAGCACGAUCAACCGGGACAGUGGCGCGAAUAAAUA